AGUGAACGCUGGCGGUAGGCCUAACACAUGCAAGUCGAACGGCAGCACAGUAAGAGCUUGCUCUUACGGGUGGCGAGUGGCGUACGGGUGAGGAAUACAUCGGAAUCUACUUUUUCGUGGGGGAUAACGUAGGGAAACUUACGCUAAUACCGCAUACGACCUACGGGUGAAAGCAGGGGAUCUUCGGACCUUGCGCGAUUGAAUGAGCCGAUGUCGGAUUAGCUAGUUGGCGGGGUAAAGGCCCACCAAGGCGACGAUCCGUAGCUGGUCUGAGAGGAUGAUCAGCCACACUGGAACUGAGACACGGUCCAGACUCCUACGGGAGGCAGCAGUGGGGAAUAUUGGACAAUGGGCGCAAGCCUGAUCCAGCAAUACCGCGUGGGUGAAGAAGGCCUUCGGGUUGUAAAGCCCUUUUGUUGGGAAAGAAAAGCAGCAGGUUAAUACCCCGCUGUUCUGACGGUACCCAAAGAAUAAGCACCGGCUAACUUCGUG
rnacentral:rRNA from 1 species